AUUGAACGCUGGCGGCAUGCCUUACACAUGCAAGUCGAACGGUAACAGGUCUUCGGAUGCUGACGAGUGGCGAACGGGCGAGUAAUACAUCGGAACGUGCCUAGUAGUGGGGGAUAACUACUCGAAAGAGUGGCUAAUACCGCAUGAGAUCUACGGAUGAAAGCAGGGGAUCGCAAGACCUUGUGCUACUAGAGCGGCCGAUGGCAGAUUAGGUAGUUGGUGGGAUAAAAGCUUACCAAGCCGACGAUCUGUAGCUCGUCUGAGAGGACGUUCAGCCACACUGGGACUGAGAAACGGCCCAGACUCCUACGGGAGGCAGCAGUGGGGAAUUUUGGACAAUGGGCGCAAGCCUGAUCCAGCAAUGCCGCGUGCAGGAUGAAGGCCUUCGGGUUGUAAACUGCUUUUGUACGGAACGAAAAGCCCCGGGUUAAUACCCUGGGGUCAUGACGGUACCGUAAGAAUAAGCACCGGCUAACUACGUGCCAGCCGCCGCCGUAA
rnacentral:rRNA from 1 species